rnacentral:rRNA from 1 species
UACGUAGGGGGCAAGCGUUGUCCGGAUUCAUUGGGCGUAAAGAGCGUGUAGGCGGCCAGGUAGGUCGGUUGUGAAAACUGGAGGCUCAACCUUCAGAGGUCGACCGAAACCAUCUGGCUAGAGUCCGGGAGAGGAGAGUGGAAUUCCUGGUGUAGCGGUGAAAUGCGCAGAUAUCAGGAGGAACACCAAUGGCGAAGGCAGCUUGCUGGGACGUGACUGACGCUGAGACGCGAAAGCGUGGGGAGCAAACAGG